CGCGUGACACCUCCCUCCAUCCUCUUCCAAUUUCCCCUCGCACCCUCUUCCCGCCCCGUUUUCCCUCCACCAAACCCCAAUAUAUCCCCUCCCCUCUCGCUCAACCUCCCUCCACACCCCCAAGCCCCGCUCCGAUCCACGAAUCCCCCCGACCGCGACCUCCAAUCCAGAUCCACCCCCGCCCUCGCGCAUGGCGCACCCGGCAGCGGACCGCCGCCUGCGCUCCUCCCCCUCGUCGC
rnacentral:lncRNA from 1 species